rnacentral:rRNA from 1 species
UGGGGAAUAUUGGACAAUGGGCGAAAGCCUGAUCCAGCCAUGCCGCGUGUGUGAAGAAGGUCUUCGGAUUGUAAAGCACUUUAAGUUGGGAGGAAGGGCAGUAACUUAAUACGUUGCUGUCUUGACGUUACCGACAGAAUAAGCACCGGCUAACUCUGUGCCAGCAGCCGCGGUAAUACAGAGGGUGCAAGCGUUAAUCGGAAUUACUGGGCGUAAAGCGCGCGUAGGUGGUUUGUUAAGUUGGAUGUGAAAGCCCCGGGCUCAACCUGGGAACUGCAUUCAAAACUGACAAGCUAGAGUAUGGUAGAGGGUAGUGGAAUUUCCUGUGUAGCGGUGAAAUGCGUAGAUAUAGGAAGGAACACCAGUGGCGAAGGCGACCACCUGGACUGAUACUGACACUGAGGUGCGAAAGCGUGGGGAGCAAACAGGAUUAGAUACCCAAGUAGUCCCUGAGCGGGCUGGCAAGGCGCAU